rnacentral:lncRNA from 1 species
UUCUAUAGUAAUACACAUUAUACAGGCCAAUAUGAAUUCAACAUAAGCUCAAAAUGGCAAUUAUUGUCUUCUAAUGUCUGCAAACUAUAGAGUCCCAUACAGUGUUUUCACUGUAUGACCCAGACCUCCCCCAUCAUGCUCAGCCAAAAGCCUAUUCUGUACAGAUUACAUUUAGUCAGUUUUUUAUUCAUUCAUCAUUCAUUGGAUUGGGUAUCGUCUGUAUGCAAAUCCUUCUGUGGGGUGCUGGAGAUACAAAUUUGAUAGCUGGAUGGACACACAGUCCCUGCCCUCAAUGCACCCAUGAUCUAGUACCAUAUGAAUUGAUGGAUAUUAAAUUGUUAUGAUAACCAGCGAUGAGGAUGAUGUCAGCAUUGUUUACAAGUUGCCAUGGGAGCACAGGAGGAAGUAGUUAGCUUUCUUUUGCAAUGACUCAGAUCAGGUUUCACAGAAGAGAAGAUCAAUGGGGCUGGAAUGAUCAGUAAGACUUUCCCAGGCAGCUGAAGGGGGUCAUGUUAGGCAAAGGGAAGAGCUUGUACAAAAGCAUGAGUCAGGAAAGCCUAGGUUAUGCUUUGGUAAUAAUAUGACCCUGAAGCCUUCGUAGCUGAAGAUAGCUGAAGUUUAUUUCUCACUCAGGUCACCUGCCUAAUCAGGUCAGCUGGACAGGAGGAGUAAGGAGCAGGGCCCUGCUCCACACAGUCACUUGGGGACCCAAGCUAGAGGGUCCAGCUGUACCACCUGGAACAUGUGGUUUGUAAGCUGGCAUUGCAGGAAAACAAAAAAAGCUGGAAUUUAGCACACUGGCUCUUCAAUGCUUCAGCUCAGAGGUGACACAUAAAAUUUUCAUCCACAGCCCAUUGGCCAGAACUAAUCACAUGCCUCCCGGAGUUGCAAAAUGUACAGGAACACAUGGCUAUUCCAUGAGUAAUAAAUGUCUCUGCUACAAGCACAAGGCAUGAAACUGUUUCCUGGGUUUAGGGAACUGUGAAUGGUUCACAAUGACUGGAGAAGAGAUUGCAAGAGGAAAUGUCUAAAGAGGAGCUCGGAAAAGUAGGGAUGAGAUGAUGAAAUCUCAUGUGCUCUGCAUAGGAAUUUGGACCACCUUAUGUGCAGAGCAGAGCUUGAGAAGAGUUCUAAACAUGGUAUCAUGGUAAUACUUGUGUUUUAAAAAUGUCUCAGCCAGGCACGGUGGCUCACGCCUGUAAUCCCAGCACUUUGGGAGGCCGAGGUGGGCGGAUCACCUGAGGUCAGGAGUUGGAGACCAGCCUGGCUAACAUGGUGAAACCCUGUCUCUACUAAAAACACAAAAAUUAGCUAGGCAUGGUGGCGGGCACCUAUAGUCCCAGCUACUUGGGAGGCUGAGACGAGAGAGUCACUUGAACCUGGGAGGUGGAGGUUGCAGUGAGCCGAGAUCGCGUCAUUGCACUCCAGCCUGGGCGACAGAGCGAGACUCCAUCUCAAAAAAAAAAAAAAAAAAAAAAAAAAAGUCUCAUGCAGCAAUGCAGAGAAUGAGUUAGAGGGGGUUGAAACAAGAGAUAGAAAAACUAGUUUGAUUCUUAUAGUUGCAUAGGUUAAAAAUGAUGAAGAAACUAAAACAGGGAUUUGGGGGAUGAAUAUGAGAACUCUUAAAGAGAUACUUGUUAGAACAUCAUGACUAUGUAGAUAUAAAAGAAGGAGAAGAAUAGAAUGACUUCCAGGUUUCUGCUUUAGGGCCUAGUGCCCCCAAUCAGGAUAAGGAGUACAGGAAAAUGAGUGAGUCCGGGGAAAAGACAUGGAGGCCAAUUUGAGAUCUGGUGAGUUUGAGUUACCCACUGCCUAUUGCUAUGUGUUGAACUGUGUCCUCCCAAAAGAUGUAUUCAAGUCACAAUCCUCAAUGUCUCAAGAUGUGACCUUAUUUGGAAGUAGGGGAGUUGCAGAUAUAGUUUGUUAAAAUGAGGUCCUCUUGGAGUAGUGUGGGCCUUAAUAUGACUGGUGUCCUUAUAAGAAGACAGUCAUGUGAUCAUGGAGGCAGAGAUUGGAGUGAUGCACCUACAGGCCAAGAAAUAUCAAAGAUUGGCAGCAAACUCCAGAAGCUAGAAGAUGUCAGAAGGAUUCUCCCUAACAGGCUUCAGAGGGGGCAUGGCCCUGCGGACUUUCCAAUUUCAGACUUCUAACCUCCUGAACUGUGAGAUGGUGAAUUGUUGUUUAAAGCCACCCAGUUUCUGGUACUUUAUAUUGGCAGCCCUAAGAAACUGAUGCAGGUAUCCAGGUGGAUCUGUCCAGUUGAAAGAUUUGGAUGAAGGCAGACCAGUCUUCUUCCAAAAGCCCAAGAAGGGAAUACUAAGGAACAACAGAGCAUGCUGGGGCCUGCGCUGGAAGAAGGUUAUUCUGUCCAGGGGUGGAGAGGAGGAAAGGGGAUUGCACAGGGAAACCUCACGAUGAGGAUGACAUUUGAAAAGGGCUUUGGGGAAUAAAGAGCAAUCUUUUUCUCUCCUAGCUGAUGAUAAACUCCUGGGAGCCAAGUUCACAUAUCUAUUCAAGUAAAAGUAUUUGACAAAUAUCUAUUAAUAACGCAUUUUUGUGUUGGGCUCUGUGCUAGGUAUUAAGGAUAUAAUGGUGACCAAAAUGGGCACAGUCCUUAUUCUCAUGUCACUUAUAAUCUAGUGAAAAGACAGACAUUAAUCAAGUAGUCACCCAGAAAAAUAUAUAAGCAGUCAUUCUGAUCAAUGAAAUGGAAAGAAACUACCAAGUGUUAAAAGAACAUAUUGCAAGGAAAUUGUUCUAGCCUGGAGUUUGUGAAACGCUUUUACAGGAAGCGAUGCUUGAGCUGAGAUCUGAAGUUAAAGGAGUCAAUUUCAAAGAAGGAAAGGCAGGAGAAGCAGUCCAGACAAAGGCUCUGACAGAGGAAGGAAUGGGUUUGUGCAGAUUUGGGAAUCUGAAAGACAGCCAGUGUCAUUGCAGGACUGAAAGUAGGUGGAGUUCAGCAGUGGUGGGGAGGGACAAGGUCAGGUGUGUGUGUGUGUGUGUGUGUGUGUUUCGAUCACCUGGAUGAGUAUGGUUGGAGAAGGGCUGGAAGCAAAUAAAACCAUUGAAAAAGAUUGCACUGGUCCAGCCCAAAGAGAAUGGUGGCCUGAACCAAUAUGGUAGCAGUGGAGAUCAUGAGUUCAAGAAGUAUUUCUUUGGCAUCUAAUGAAGAAAAACAUAAGUUAAGAAUGAAAUCACCUCUCUGUAGAUACAGCUUUUCCAUACUUCUCCCUGCCUUGGGGUUUUAAAAGACCAUCUGUCUGAAAAAGUGACGUUGAUGCUUCAGUAAAAAACACCUUGACAUCUGGUAAUAAAGACUCAGUCUACAAUGAAGUGGAAAUUGAAUGGUGUUCUGGGGUUAUAGUGAGACUCUCUCAAGUUGGGGAGAGGGAGGCACAUAAAAGAGAGAACAAGAGGUUAGACCCUUGAAGACUUUCACAGGCCAUGGAGGACCCAAGGCAAGGUCCUGUCUGAAGAAAGGGAUUCCUACAGCACCUGCCAGCAGUAAGCUUCUCUCUUAAGCUUCUAGAGUCAGGUUUUACUCCUCUGCUGCACUUAAACUCUGGAUAUGAGAUAGGAAUGAAGUCCGGAGGCUGUGGCUGUUGCAUUACAUAAGAGGGUGUGCCUCUUCCCAGGGGUGUGGCUUGCAGUUGACCUUCUCCUGAGUAUUACAUGCCCAGCUCCUGAAGGUGGGUGCUAUAGUUUGGAUGCUUGUCUCCUCCAAAUCUCAUGUUGAAACUUGAUCCCCAAUGUUGGAGGUGGGCCAAAUGGGAGGUGUUUGGGUCAUGGGGAUGGGUCUCUUGUGGAUAGGUUGAUGCUCUCCCUGGGGGAGGGUGGUGAGUGAAUUCUCAUUCUUUUAGUUUCCUUGAGGGCUGAUUGUUAAAAAGAGCCUGCACCUCCCUCCCCUUGCUUCCUCUCUUGCUAUGUGGCUUUUGCACACGCUGGCUCCGCUCUGCCUUCUGCCAUGAAGGGAAGCAACCAAAGGACCUCAUCAGAGGGUGGAGUACAGGCUCCAGGUCUCCACCCAAGUCACACCCUCACUUGCAGCUAUUUCUAAUAUCUAAAUGCCAGAUGGAACCUGCGGGGUGAAACGGAGGACUGGACAAAAGGCAAAGCCCAACAAGCCCAGAUCUCCCUGGAGCAGAUACAGACCCCUAGGGGACCCGGGGGCACUGCAGCGGGAUGGGAGGAUGCAGAGCCACGGGGAAAUGGGGCAGCUGGCCCUUUCACCCAGGUCAGCUUCCCCAGCCAGCAGAGAGCUCCGGGAGCAGCUUCUGAACGCUUCCCUUCUAUUCCACGGACCAUGGCAAAGGGCUGGGUGCUGGGCCUGGACUCAGGCUGUACCUGUUGGCUUAGGAGCAGCCAGCAGAGUCCAGGAGCACUCGCCAGGCAGUACAAGUCAGAGCAGAACGACCAGCAGCCAGAUGUGGGGUUGUCUGGGGCAGGCAGCUGGGGUGGGGGCCCUGGGGCCAAGUAGAAGUUGGCACAAGGUGGCCCAUGCUGGUCUUGAGUGCAGAAGCAGGGGUGUGGAGGGCAAAUCCUGACUUCCUCUUUUAUCUGAUGUGGCUUUAUGGCUGUCAGUAACCCCUCAGAGACUUUAUUUCCUUAUUUGUGAGAUGCAGGCUGUAAUCAAAGUAGCCGGAUGGAAUUUUUGAGAACAUUGAAGAGACAGUGAGUGCUUAAGAUAUUUCUGCAGCAUUGAAAUGGCAGCUGUUACUAUAGGACCUUGUGCUGAAAUGCAAACCUGUCUCUACGUAGGCUACUGUCUGUACCAAUGACUUGCAGGACAAACAGUUCCCUUCCUCCUGAAGGGCCGAAGGGGCUUGGAGACACAUUGCAUCUCGACUUUCCAUUUCCUGCCCCUGAUGUGCUAUGGCAGAAUGAAAAGCUGGCUUGAGCUAGCAAGUCAUUUGAAAUAUGAACCUGAUAAAACCCGACUCACCUCCUGCCCCCCCGCCAGCUGAGCUGGUCUGCUAGCAAGUUGAGGUAGUUUCUCCCCACACAAAAGCCCUAAAGCCCUCCUCUCAUCCCCUGAUGAAAUGCCCCCUCCUGUCUCAGCACAGCCCCAAUGUCCCCUCUCCAGGAAUUCUCCUGACCCUUAGACUACAUGGGUGUUUCUCCCAGCACUUCUAAAGCAAUGCCAUCCAAUAGAAAUAAAGUGUGAAGCACACAUAUCAUUUUAAGUUUUGUGGUAGCCACAGGAAUAAAAGUAAAAACAGGCUGGGUGCGAUGGCUCACGCCUGUAAUCCCAGCACUUUGGGAAGCUGAGGUGGGCAGAUCACGAGGUCAGGAGAUGGAGAAAAUACUGGCCAACAUAGUGAAACUCUGUCUCUACUAAAAAUACAGAAAUU